UCUCCCCCCUCUUUACCACAUUCUGAAAAUCAGGUUUUCCCAUGGGGCCCUGCUGUAUAAGCCCUCACAACCAUGGCUAAUGAACUGGAGUCCACCAGAUCAGUCCGGGUCCAUGAUAAACUGAGAUCAGGGGGUGAGGCCGAAAGUUCCAACGCUCUAAUCAUGAUUGGUUCUUCUUGCAACUAUCCCCCCGUCCUUAGACAUCAAUAAUGGGAAAGGAAGGAGUGGUGGAAGCUCUUAAGGAUCAAAGAAUUUUCCUGGUUCUUCAAUGUCUAGAACAAGGUGGACACAAUUAUUUGCUGAGUGAGUGAAUGGAUAAAUGAACAACAUAUACGUGGAAAUCUAGGAAGAAUUGAAGGAGACGGGCUACUUUGGGGGAUGACUUGCACAGAAGGAAGCAAGUGCUUGUUCUGCCAGCUCCAUCUGUGGUCAGACUAUAGUUACCCAAGAAUAUGAGUAUCUGUUUUGUACAGGAUUACAGACUACGCAAUGGUGUUCCUAUUAGAUGAAGUCUGGGAGUGUUUGAAGAUAUUCCACUAU